GAAACAUUUUCACCUGGCCUCUAGCAGGCCUGUAUUUACAUGAGGAAGAGGUCACAAUAAAAGCAUGGCUGGGAGCCCUAAAGGAAGACAGACUUGCUUUCUGCUCAUCUAGGUAGUGCCUGGCUCCUAUUUUACAUAGGUUAUAGUGGGAGAUGGUGGAAGGGAGCAGUGAGAAGAAAGGCUUGAUUCUCUUCUCUGUGGGGCGCAUCAGGGUAUUGAAGAGCUGCAGGAAAUCCAAACAAGCCAAAAUCUGAGGGAGCACACAGAGGAGACUUCUAAAGCCAGCUGAAGCUGCCACUUUAUCAUUCACUGCAUUAAAGAAGUGUUUUAAGUGAACAGUCAGUUAAAGAUUGACUGACCUGACAAGAGUAAACUGGAAACCCAAUUUGUUGGAACUUGGAUUUGGAUUUGUCCGUUUGUGACGGCUGCAACAAACCAGUCACUUUCCUAUUUUGGGAACUGGCAGGCAAGAUUGUGAUUUAUCACAGUUCUUGUGCGUACAGCAGGAACAAGGCAGAGGUUGGAAAUGAAUCCCACUUUCUGAUUAAAAACAAGGUUGGUUGUUCAUAAGGAUGUAACUGUAACUAACACCACUACUACAGCUGCGUCCAUCCUUCCAAGGUGUUAAUGCCCUGAAAAAAAAUAAAUUGAUUUCCUAGAUGGAAAAAUAAAGAUGAGAACUGGGAGAAGCUCUGGGAAAUGGGAAGAUGUUGCAAAGGAAACCUCAGGGAUUUUAAGAAGCAGGACGGUCUCCAAAGCGUUUUUCCUACAAAAGCCUGAGUGCCUGAGCUGGUGGUACGUGCUUACAGUGACUACAAGUGCUAGUUUCAUGAGUCCGUAAUUAUUCUGACCUACAGUUAAUGCUUUCCUCAUGCUUUGUUCACUACAUCAAUUUGUUUCAGGAGCCUUCUGAAGCACAGCAAGGUGCUGCAUAGCCUUAAAUGGAAGUUCAUUAAGGAAAGUUACCCUAUGCUGGUAAGUGCCUAGUUGGCAUUUACCUAGGGUUAACAUUCUGAUGCUCUUCUGUGAAAGAGCAAAUAAUACAGGUGAUAUCUUGCCUGAAUUGUAAGUUUUAAAAUAGAAAAUGGGUAUGUUUACUUAGUACCUUAACCAUGCUACAAGAGUCAGCUGGCUUUGCUGAACUCCUUUCUCCUUGCUGGUUAGAGAUCAAUUAAAACACCACUCUGCAGUUUGAUGGAGAAACUGCCCCAGUUCAGGAGGAAGCUACAGAGGGAGUGACAGAGCACAGAGCAGAGUCAGACCGAAUGCACUUGAGAUUACAGGACCAGCUGUGUAUAAAAGCUUGUGGAAAUGAAGCUCAGUAAUUACUGAUGCUUUCCUUUGGAAUAUUAGCUAACUGAACUGGUAUUACUUAUGGACAAGCAACUAGAAUGUAUUCUCAGAGUGCCAGACCACCAAGAUGCUGUAUUUUAAGCAGCAUCCUUAGAACAGUGAGUUGAUGAAUGUACCUGAGAGGUCUGAUAACAAGUACUGUCUCUUAGGAAGUGACAAGCUAUAGAAGAUCUUGAUGGUUGCUUUCCAUCUCUUAUCGUAACACAUUAACUACGCUGUUGGUGUUUAGUUUACUGGUGCCAUAAAAAAAUCCUAGUGUAAUAAAGUGGGAAACCUCUUUUGUCUGCAAGUAUCAAAUAUUUCUCCUUUCGGUUUUCAUCUUCUUAAGUAACAAAGUCUAUGGGAAGAGGGAGUAAAAUACCCUGGUCUGAAUUUGACGCUAGCCACAACAUGCUUCUGUGCUAGUGUCAUAAAGGAAGGGAAGCAUAUCUUGGUGCUAAGUCAGAGGGUGGAUUUAGGCUGUAAUUUAAUGUGCACAGCAGCAUGUCCCAAUCAGCUUGAAAGCCUGUAGUUAGUCUCUUCUCAGAAACCACAAAUGAACAGACUUUAGUUGAGGGUGCUCCAGUACUCAAUGCAAACUCCAUUUCCAAAGUGUGUGUUCUUGCAUUCAAGUGAGAAAACUGAUUCCUCAGUGAUGCCCUCUACCAAAUAAACCUACCUUGGAUAUACUUAUUUCUUUUUAUGCCAUACCUAAAGUACUGCUGUGAUGGCUUCUGGUGCUAACAGCAAGUUUGCAGGGUGUGCUCCUUCCUUCUUGGGAGGAGGAAGAAGUUCAAGUACUCCAAAUAUAAACCUGAGAGCUUCCCGGAGGAUGUUU